rnacentral:rRNA from 1 species
AAGCUCGUAGUUGAAUUUCGGGGUUCUACCGUUGGUCGGGCUAACAAGUCUGUACUAGCGUGUAGAAUCUCUACCUUCUGGGGAACCAUCAUGUUAUUAAUUUAGCGUGGUGGGAAACCAGGACCUUUACCUUGAAAAAAUUAGAGUGUUCAAAGCAGGCUUACGUCUGAAUACAUUAGCAUGGAAUAAUAAAAUAGGACGGUGGUCCUGUUUUGUUGGUUUCUGAAUCACCGUAAUGAUUAAUAGGGAUAGUUGGG